rnacentral:rRNA from 1 species
CAAUGGCUUUAGUGGCGGACUGGUGAGUAACGCGUUAGCAACUUGCCUAUUAGAGGGGAAUAACAGCGAGAAAUCGUUGCUAAUACCGCAUACUCUGGUUUUAUUGCAUGAUAAAAUCAGGAAAGGAGUAAUCCGCUAAUAGAUGGGCUUGCGUCUGAUUAGUUAGUUGGUGGGGUAAAGGCCUACCAAGACUACGAUCAGUAGCCGGACUGAGAGGUUGAACGGCCACAUUGGGACUGAGAUACGGCCCAGACUCCUACGGGAGGCAGCAGUCGGGAAUAUUGCGCAAUGGAGGAAACUCUGACGCAGUGACGCCGCGUAUAGGAAGAAGGUUUUCGGAUUGUAAACUAUUGUCGUUAGGGAAGAAAAAAGACAGUACCUAAGGAGGAAGCUCCGGCUAACUACGUGCCAGCAGCCGCGGUAAUACGUAGGGAGCAAGCGUUAUCCGGAUUUAUUGGGUGUAAAGGGUGCGUAGACGGGAAUUUAAGUUAGUUGUGAAAUCCCUCGGCUUAACUGAGGAACUGCAACUAAAACUGAAUUUCUUGAGUGCAGGAGAGGUAAGUGGAAUUCCUAGUGUAGCGGUGAAAUGCGUAGAUAUUAGGAGGAACACCAGUGGCGAAGGCGGCUUACUGGACUGCAACUGACGUUGAGGCACGAAAGUGUGGGGAGCAAACAGGAUUAGAUACCCUGGUAGUCCACACUGUAAACGAUGGAUACUAGGUGUAGGUUGUGAUAAACGAUCUGUGCCGACGCAAACGCAAUAAGUAUCCCACCUGGGGAGUACGGCCGCAAGGUUGAAACUCAAAGGAAUUGACGGGGGCCCGCACAAGCAGUGGAGUAUGUGGUCUAAUUCGAAGCAACGCGAAGAACCUUACCAGGGCUUGACAUAUACCUGAAUAUAUCAGAGAUGAUAUAGCCCUUCGGGGCAGGUAUACAGGUGGUGCAUGGUUGUCGUCAGCUCGUGUCGUGAGAUGUUGGGUUAAGUCCCGCAACGAGCGCAACCCCUAUGGUUAGUUGCCAGCACAUAAUGGUGGGAACUCUAGCCAGACUGCCGGUGAUAAAUCGGAGGAAGGUGGGGACGACGUCAAAUCAUCAUGCCCUUUAUGUCCUGGGCUACACACGUACUACAAUGGAAGUAACAGAGGGAAGCGAAGCAGCGAUGCGGAGCAAAACCCCAAAAGCUUCCACAGUUCGGAUUGAAGGCUGAAAUUCGCCUUCAUGAAGCCGGAAUUGCUAGUAAUGGCAGGUCAGCAUACUGCCGUGAAUACGUUCCCGGGCCUUGUACACACCGCCCGUCACACCAUGAGAGUUGGGGAUACCCGAAGCCUGUGAGCUAACUGUAAGGAGGCAGCAGUCGAAGGUAGAAUCAAUGAUUGGGGUGAAGUCGUAACAAGGUAA